UUGAGCUUGAUCAUGGCUCAGAUUGAACGCUGGCGGCAGGCCUAACACAUGCAAGUCGAGCGGAAACGAUGGAAGCUUGCUUCCAGGCGUCGAGCGGCGGACGGGUGAGUAAUGCAUGGGAAUCUGCCCGAUAGUGGGGGAUAACCUGGGGAAACCCAGGCUAAUACCGCAUACGUCCUACGGGAGAAAGCAGGGGAUCUUCGGACCUUGCGCUAUCGGAUGAGCCCAUGUCGGAUUAGCUUGUUGGUGAGGUAAUGGCUCACCAAGGCGACGAUCCGUAGCUGGUCUGAGAGGAUGAUCAGCCACAUCGGGACUGAGACACGGCCCGAACUCCUACGGGAGGCAGCAGUGGGGAAUAUUGGACAAUGGGCGAAAGCCUGAUCCAGCCAUGCCGCGUGUGUGAAGAAGGCCCUCGGGUUGUAAAGCACUUUCAGUGGGGAAGAAA
rnacentral:rRNA from 1 species